UACAGAGGUCCCAAGCGUUGUUCGGAUUCACUGGGCGUAAAGGGUGCGUAGGUGGUGGUCUAAGUCGGGUGUGAAAUCUCCGGGCUCAACCCGGAGGCUGCGCUCGAAACUGGAUCGCUGGAGGAUGGGAGGGGAGACUGGAAUUCUCGGUGUAGCAGUGAAAUGCGUAGAUAUCGAGAGGAACACCGGUGGCGAAGGCGAGUCUCUGGACCAUUCCUGACACUGAGGCACGAAAGCCGGGGGAGCAAACAGG
rnacentral:rRNA from 1 species